CUUCCAUAAUUAUAGUCUUCCAUGAAACCCUCUUAUCUUAAACCUACAAGAAUAAGAAAUGCUUACACUCAAUGUAUUCAACUGUAUUAAAGCAGCAAACUCUUACUUCAUUUUACAAUUGAAGAGUUAUAGGAGACAUGGCUCGUUUAUUCCACAAAUUUACGUAUCUUAUCUUGGAUUUGCAGCGAUCUUUUCAUCCAUUAUGAUGGAUUCAGAGGCGGCUGCAAUAACUUUUUCUUUAUCCUGAAGCUUCUUAUCUGUUGUACAAAAAUUUUCCCCAUCUGCAGCCCCUACAACAUCACGAGCCUUCAAGUCAAAGUUCUGUAACCCACCUCGACCACUCGCUAAUUGUUUCAAAUGAACCAAGGAAGGAACUUUGUCUUCCAUGGGUGUUCUCUUAUUGCAGACAUCAGAUUCCCCACUUUGUUGCUUUCUCCCAAAAAUCCUGGCUAUUGCUCCAGUACAAGAACAUAGCAUAUUUUUUGGUAUUUUUGUGGGGUUCAU
rnacentral:misc_RNA from 1 species